AAUAGCUACUGAUGCUAUCGCUUUUUAUUAAGAGGAAAGUCCGGACACCAAAGAGUAGCAUAGCGGAUAACAUCCGUCCAGUGAAAACUGAGGACAAGUGCAACAGAAAGAAUGUACAGUUAGGCUGUAGUGAAAUCAUGUAAACUCUAUGCGGUGCAAUGCCAUGUAUACCAAGACUAAAGGAUUACUCGUCUUUCUUGGGGGGUGGGCAGCUUGAUGUAAGGGGUAACUUUUACACUAGAUAAAUGAUAGCACCUAUUUUUAGGAACAGAAUCCGGCUUACGUGUAGCUAUUGUUA
rnacentral:RNase_P_RNA from 1 species